UACGUAGGUGGCAAGCGUUGUCCGGAUUUAUUGGGCGUAAAGAGCUCGUAGGCGGUCUGUCGCGUCUGCUGUGAAAUCCCGAGGCUCAACCUCGGGCUUGCAGUGGGUACGGGCAGGCUAGAGUGCGGUAGGGGGAGAAUGGAACUCCUGGUGUAGCGGUGGAAUGCGCAGAUAUCAGGAAGAACACCGAUGGCGAAGGCAGUUCUCUGGGCCGUAACUGACGCUGAGGAGCGAAAGCGUGGGGAGCGAACAGG
rnacentral:rRNA from 1 species